CCUACGGGAGGCAGCAGUGAGGAAUAUUGGUCAAUGGGCGCGAGCCUGAACCAGCCAAGCAGCGUGAAGGAUGAAUGUCCUACGCGUUGUAAACUUCUUUUAUCAAGGAAUAAAGUGAGGCACGAGUGCCUUUUUGUGGGUACUUUAAGAAUAAGGAUCGGCUAACUCCGUGCCAGCAGCCGCGGUAAUACGGAGGAUACGAGCGUUAUCCGGAUUUAUUGGGUUUAAAGGGUGCGUAGAUGGGCUGUUAAGUCAGUGGUAAAAUCCAGGGGCUCAACCCCUGCCCGCCAUUGAAACUGGCUGUCUUGAGUGGAAGAGAGGUAUGCGGAAUGCGUGGUGUAGCGGUGAAAUGCAUAGAUAUCGCGCAGAACCCCGAUUGCGAAGGCAGCAUGCCGGCUUCCUACUGACGCUGAGGCACGAAAGCGUGGGGAUCGAACAGGAUUAGAUACCCGUGUAGUC
rnacentral:rRNA from 1 species